rnacentral:rRNA from 1 species
GCGGGCUCGUGCGCCGGCGGUUUGUUCGGACCCUCUCCUGGGCCGAGCCGGCGUCGUAGUCUCCGGACGACCCGACGCACUUCCUCCCGCCCUGAGGACGCCGCAGCCGGUUGGGUAGCUGCGCGAGUCGGCCAUAAGGACGGGCGCCGGAAGGUGGCCAGUGGCGUUCCCCCGUGUUCGUCGCUGGUCGUUAUCCAGCCCGCCCGUGGCGCGACACCCGACCGAGGUCGAAGGUCCCGGUUAGGACCUAGCCGUCCCCUCACCCCUGUGGUCGAGCAGGAGCGCCGGCAGGCGGUUCCCCGUCCGGCCGUUUUCACUCUCCGAGUGGGCGGUUGCCGGGUGACGCUGUUGGUGCGGACGUUACCUGCGUGGGGUUAUUUUCCGGCGGCUUGCGGCGAGUAGGUCGGUCACCCACCCGACCCGUCUUGAAACACGGACCAAGGAGUCUAACAUGUGCGCGAGUCACGGGGUCUUGCUUAGGCCCAGAGGCGCAACGAAAGCGAAGGCCGGCCUCGACGCCGGCCGAGUUGGGACUCUCCGCCUCGUGCGGGGAAGCACCAACGGCCUGUCCUAUCCGAUUCAUCGGUUGGACGGAGCGUGAGCGUACACGUUGGGACCCGAAAGAUGGUGAACUAUGCCUGGGCAGGACGAAGCCAGAGGAAACUCUGGUGGAGGUCCGUAGCGGUUCUGACGUGCAAAUCGAUCGU